rnacentral:lncRNA from 1 species
GGAGAUUCAUCCUUCAAUUGUUUACAAUCUUUAUGCCUUAAUGAUUGUAUAAAUUUAUUGUCAUUGCCAUCGAUUGGGAAAUUGCCAUUGUUGAAAAAGGUACGUAUUAAAGGAUUGCGCAGUGUAAGGACUGUAGGAGUUGAGUUCUUUGGAGAGAACACGACCAACACAUUUUCUUCAUUGGAGAUUUUAGAGUUUAAGGAUAUGCUUAAUUGGGAGAAGUGGAACUUGUGUGAAGUUGAUGAGGAAGCUAGGAAAUUCCCUAAACUUUCUGAACUCCUUAUUGAAAAUUGUCCCUUAUUGUUAGGGAGUAUUCCGGAAUACCUUCCUUCUUUGAAGAAACUUGCAAUUCUUUGGUGCGGGAAGUUGAUAAUUUCUGUUCAAAACUUUCCAUUGCUUUCAGAAUUAGAUAUUUGGGGUUGCCACUGGAUAAUUUAUAAAGGUUUUGUAGAUAAUAGCUCUAUAAAAAGAAUCUCGUUUGAAGGGAUUUCCAAGUUUAGUUGUGCAGCAGAAUGCUUGAGGUUAAGAUCAAUAAAAGUGGAAUCGUUUGAGAUUGGUGAUUGUGAGGAGUUGGGGCCUUCUCGAGAUAACAAUUGGGGAUUGCUAACUCAGUCCAUGUCCCUCAAAUAUUUAGAAAUUGCAAGAUGUCCGCAAAUUGUAUCCAUAGGAACAGAAGAGGAAAGAGAAGAAUUGAUGCAAUUGAAGAUUCCUUCUAGCAUUGUAAGAAUGACAAUAAGGAAUUGUGAAAGGCUAGAAAAACUAUCGACAACCUUGUACACCCUCACAUUACUUAUGGAAUUAGAGCUUGGCGGUUGCCCAAAAUUGAUUUCUCUUGCAAGGAGCAAUUUGCCUUCAAAUCUGAAAGAGCUAAGGAUUUUUUAUUGUAAAAAUUUGCAAUGUUUAUUGUUGGAUGAAGGAGAGGAUGUUGACUCCAACAAUGCAUGUGUUCUUCAGCAGUUGGAUAUUGUCGGUUGCGAAUCUCUAAAGAGAAUAAAUAGAAGUGAGUUGCCCUCCACACUGAAAACACUUCAAAUAAAAUAUUGUCCAAAGCUAGAGUCCAUAUCCCAAGAAAUUCAAGAUAACUCUUCUCUUGAAUCUAUUCUUAUCUUUAAUUGUGAUAUGCUUAAGGGUUUACCUCAAGGAUUGAACAACCUCAAGCAUUGCAAGAGCAUAAGGAUAAGAAAUUGUUCAACUUUGAUUUCCGUAGCAGAGAGUGGUUUGCCCACCACAAACCUUGAAGUGCUCUACCUCCACUGUUGUGUACUUCUCCAAGGUUUGCCUGGGAAUAUGCACAGUCUCAACGCUCUAAAAGAAUUAGAAAUAUGGAAUUUUCCAAAUGGGACAUCCAUUCUGGAAGAGGGGAUUCCUACCAAUCUCACAUCGCUUAGAAUUAGUGGACCCAAUAUCUGGAAGGCAAUACUUGAGAGGCAUUUGCAUACACUCACUUGUCUUAAAUCUCUCGACAUAUCAGAAGGGUGUCCAGAUGCAGUGUCAUUUCCUCAAGAUGAGAUAGGAGUCACACUGCCCUCCUCUCUCACCUAUCUCCGCAUCUCGGAUUUCCCAAAACUGGAGAGCCUAUCCUCCAAUGGCUUUCGCAACCUCACUUCUCUCCAGCGCUUGACUAUCGAAAAUUGCCCAAACCUCAAGACUCUUCCGGAAAACAACAUGCUUUCUUCGCUUUUGAAGCUAAAUAUCGUGGGGUGUCCAAUGAUGGAAGAAAGGUGCAAAAGGGAUAAAGGACCUGAUUGGUCCAAAAUUAGCCACAUACCUUAUGUUGCUAUUGGGGGAUUAAUAGUCUGUUGAUGGUUCAGACACAAGUUCCGGAAAACAACAUGCUUUCUUCGCUUUUGAAGCUAAAUAUCGUGGGGUGUCCAAUGAUGGAAGAAAGGUGCAAAAGGGAUAAAGGACCUGAUUGGUCCAAAAUUAGCCACAUACCUUAUGUUGCUAUUGGGGGAUUAAUAGUAUGUUGAUGGUUCAGACACAAGUUCUUUGGAGACACAAUAAUUGAUGAAUCAAAUAGGCAGGUAUGUCAAUUUGGGAUCAUUAUAUCCCAUACAAAUUUUAUUUUAUUUAUGAUCUUUUUUACAAUUAUUGUCCUAUUCUAUAACUAGAAAAACAAAAUAUAUGGUCCCUUGGCUGGGUCAGGAAUAUUAUUAUUUUAAAAUACGAGUUAUUUUAAUAUUCACUGAAAAAUAGAAUAAUUAAUUUUUGUUUUACCCUAUCAUUUAUUAUUCAUUCCAAUGUUCUAACCAUUAAUUCCUGCUAUUGGAAAUACCGGCAUAUUGAAUCUAUGUAUGGAUUUUGCUUUUCUCUGGCCUGUUAAUUAAAGGACUAAAAAUUUUAUGAAUGGAAGUGAGAAUCAAUAUUAUUGAUGUUAUUGUCCAGCUGGCAAUGCCUUGCUGCUGUUUAUAUGUUUUAGUUGGCACCGAUGAAGGAAUUGCAUUGCUCCUCUGAUACUGACCUACGCAUGAAUAUCCUAAUAUAUUGCUAUUUGGACAUGUCAAAGUUGAGAGAUUAUGACGCAACUUUUUUAGCACGCCUUCAUAUAUUUUGUUCUUGCAGUUGUUCCUCUGUCAAAUGUGACAAAACAUCCUUUCCAACCAAAUGAUGCAAAACUGAUGAAGAACAAAAGAUCAUUGAUGUUAGUUGAGCAGGAAUUUGGCCGACAAUCAUAGGAUGUCACAGGUUUAUGAUAAUUGGAAAUACUCCUGAAUUUAUUUGUUUUUAAGAGGAAAUUGACUGAAAUCCAAUGAAGAGGAUAUCUGAGGUAUCUGAAAUUAUUUGAAAUUAUUUGCAUGUUCAAAUAUAUAUAUCACUUUAAUUGAUAGGUGUUUGACAACUUUCUUGGGUUUCACAUCAUUUGAUUAGUUAUUAUCAAUUAAUGAAAGCCCGUUGACCAAAACAUGCAGAACUCCUUGGGGAAAUGCAGACCUUUUCUCAAGCGAAAGAGUUGAGCUGAUUCGACUCCUAAUUACAUAGGCUUUUGCUUGGAUGAGCUUUACAUGGGUACCUUUCUAUUGUACCAAAAACUUUGGUCUUUCACACCAUGCCUCUGAUGCUAUAUAGCUAUUUGCACUUUGAAUCUUUGUUUGCAGACACUUAUGACGGUGACUACAAGGCUCGUGUAUGUUAGUUUUGCACGAUCGGAUUAGUUACCAAUAGCUGUAGCUUGUGGAUCUUCGGCUUCAAAGUCUGUCUCUAUUGUUGGAAUUUCUCCAGCUUUCUCUAUUAUGUUUAGGAAUAAUCACUUCUCGAUGAUAGUUAAGCUAGAGUUAUGUAUUUAUUGUGAUCAUGUAGCCACAAUUUUAUAUUAUAAUGAAGUUUUUCAGUGGACUCUCGAGUCCCGUAAUUUUUACCCUUUGAUUUAAAGGGAUUUUCCACG